rnacentral:rRNA from 1 species
AUUUGACUCAACGCGGGAAAUCUUACCAGGUCCGGACACACUGAGGAUUGACAGGAAGUAUCGUCUUUUGAAUUCUUUAAGGAUAUGUCGUUUUUAAUGACAUCUUUUAGAUGGAUGAUUCGUGUAAAUAUGCUAGUUCUUUCAUGAUUAUGUGAUAGGUGGUGCAUGGCCGUUCUUAGUUCGUGGAGUGAUCUGUCUGCUUAAUUGCGUUUCACUAAGGCCCCAAAGUUAGCAAAUUAUCAAUCGUUACAGAGUCGACCCCUCACCUUUGAGUGCGCGUCCUAACUUGUAGUACAUGGUGUAAAUGGAUUUGUUUUGGGUACCCAGAAAGCAACGAACGUGACCGCAACGUCUUGUUGUCUCUCUUUGACAGUUAUGGGUUAUCCCAGUCAUGUGUUUAUACUUUUAUGUGUAAAUACGUACGACACAGAGACUAGAUACCAAACUAGGUGUACCGCUGUAUCAUUUCUUUAAACCAGAGGAAGGUUGCGGCAAUAAC